rnacentral:rRNA from 1 species
GACGAACGCUGGCGGCGUGCUUAACACAUGCAAGUCGAACGCUGAAGCUUGGUGCUUGCACUGGGUGGAUGAGUGGCGAACGGGUGAGUAAUACGUGAGUAACCUGCCCUUGACUCUGGGAUAAGCCUGGGAAACUGGGUCUAAUACUGGAUACGACAUGUCACCGCAUGGUGGUGUGUGGAAAGGGUUUUACUGGUUUUGGAUUGGCUCACGGCCUAUCAGCUUGUUGGUGGGGUAAUGGCUCACCAAGGCGACGACGGGUAGCCGGCCUGAGAGGGUGACCGGCCACACUGGGACUGAGACACGGCCCAGACUCCUACGGGAGGCAGCAGUGGGGAAUAUUGCACAAUGGGCGAAAGCCUGAUGCAGCGACGCCGCGUGAGGGAUGACGGCCUUCGGGUUGUAAACCUCUUUCAGCACGGAAGAAGCGAAAGUGACGGUACGUGCAGAAGAAGCGCCGGCUAACUACGUG